GUCAGCAGCUGGAAGUGCAUAUGACUUCAGAACAGACAUGGAGACACCGGUGAAGGACAACGCUGAGGGACGAGCAUGCUGGGCGACAUGUCACUGCUGCAUUUCUAGAUGUAUUGCGGUCAUUCCAGUUCAGUGUCUGUUGAAUUUCAACAAAAUCAAACCUCAGGAGUGACAAAGUCAUCCAACAGCAAUGUGAAAGACUGGCAGCAUGACAAGACACAAUAAAACUGUGAUAUAAAUUCAGACCACAAAUACUGCAGAGCAUCUUUUCUCUAAUUUUUACCCGUUUCUCCAGUUUUCGUUUUCUGGCUUCUUUAAAAGUUCAUGUCAAUAAAAGAAGACGCUACUAAAUUCACAGCUAUGUUCUAAAAUCUUCAAGAUGUAGAGCGACUGCCUUUCACACUCCAUUUC